AACGAACGCUGGCGGCAGGCUUAACACAUGCAAGUCGAGCGCCCCGCCAGGGGCGCGGCAGACGGGUGAGUAACGCGUGGGAACGUACCUUUUGGUUCGGAACAACUCCGGGAAACUGGAGCUAAUACCGGAUAAGCCCUAACGGGGAAAGAUUUAUCGCCGAAAGAUCGGCCCGCGUCUGAUUAGCUAGUUGGUGAGGUAACGGCUCACCAAGGCGACGAUCAGUAGCUGGUCUGAGAGGAUGAUCAGCCACACUGGGACUGAGACACGGCCCAGACUCCUACGGGAGGCAGCAGUGGGGAAUAUUGGACAAUGGGCGCAAGCCUGAGCCAGCCAUGCCGCGUGAGUGAUGAAGGCCUUAGGGUUGUAAAGCUCUUUUGUCCGGGAAGAUAAUGACUGUACCGGAAGAAUAAGCCCCGGCUAACUUCGUG
rnacentral:rRNA from 1 species